rnacentral:rRNA from 1 species
AACGAACGCUGGCGGCAUGCCUAUCACAUGCAAGUCGAACGAGACCUUCGGGUCUAGUGGCGCACGGGUGCGUAACGCGUGGGAAUCUGCCCUUGGGCUCGGAAUAACUCAGAGAAAUUUGAGCUAAUACCGGAUGAUGACGAAAGUCCAAAGAUUUAUCGCCCAAGGAUGAGCCCGCGUAAGAUUAGCUUGUUGGUGGGGUAAUGGCCUACCAAGGCGACGAUCUUUAGCUGGUCUGAGAGGAUGAUCAGCCACACUGGGACUGAGACACGGCCCAGACUCCUACGGGAGGCAGCAGUGGGGAAUAUUGGACAAUGGGCGAAAGCCUGAUCCAGCAAUGCCGCGUGAGUGAUGAAGGCCUUAGGGUUGUAAAGCUCUUUUACCAGGGAUGAUAAUGACAGUACCUGGAGAAUAAGCUCCGGCUAACUCCGUGCCAGCAGCCGCAGUAA